rnacentral:rRNA from 1 species
UACGAAGGGUGCAAGCGUUACUCGGAAUUACUGGGCGUAAAGCGUGCGUAGGUGGUUUGUUAAGUCUGUUGUGAAAGCCCCGGGCUCAACCUGGGAAUGGCAAUGGAUACUGGCAGGCUAGAGUGCGGUAGAGGGUAGUGGAAUUCCCGGUGUAGCGGUGAAAUGCGCAGAUAUCGGGAAGAACACCCGUGGCGAAGGCGGCACUCUGGGACGGUACUGACGCUGAGACGCGAAAGCGUGGGGAGCGAACAGG